CUGAAGGAUGGCAACAGCUCCUGUACUUCAGGCUCAAACCUGCUUGGCUGGCUGCCACACAAGCAAUCUCACAUCUGUCAUCUUAACUUCAAAGUCCAACAUCAUCAGAUGCACCAUCUUUCUCAUCAUCGACUACAUCAUCAUCGGCUACAUCUGAGUACCAUAAAUGGCUGAGUCAUUUCUUCUCACUGGAUCCCAUAAGAAAAUGGAAAGUUCUAAGUGUUCAUCAAUGGAUGAGAGACUGAAGAAAUUGUGGUAUAUGUAUACAAUGAAAUACUACUCAGCCAUAUAAAGAAGGAAAUCCUGCCGCUUGCCACAACAUGGAUGGAAAUUGAGAUAAGCCAGACAAAGACAAACCCUGUAUGCUCACUUACUUGUGGAAUCUCAGAAAGCCAAACUUGUAUUAACAGAAUAGAAGAGCGGUU
rnacentral:lncRNA from 9 species